GGCAGCCGCGGUAAUUCCAGCUCCAAUAGCGUAUAUUAAAGUUGUUGCAGUUAAAAAGCUCGUAGUUGAAUUUCGGGAUCAAUACGUCGGUCGUGCCUCGGUACGUACUGGCGUCAUUGAUUUCUCCCUUCUGAAGAACCGUGAUGCCAUUAACUUGGUGUCACGGGAAAUCAGGACUGUUACUUUGAAAAAAUUAGAGUGUUUAAAGCAGGCUCACGCUUGAAUACAUUAGCAUGGAAUAAUGAAAUAGGACGUUCGACCCUAUUUUGUUGGUUUCUAGGAUCAACGUAAUGAUUAAUAGGGAUAGUUGGGGGCAUUAGUAUUCAAUUGUCAGAGGUGAAAUUCUUGGAUUUAUUGAAGACUAACUACUGCGAAAGCAUUUGCCAAGGAUGUUUUCAUUAAUCAAGAACGAAAGUUAGGGGAUCGAAGACGAUCAGAUACCGUCGUAGUCUUAACCAUAAACUAUGCCGACUAGGGAUCGGAUGAUGUUAAUUUUUUAAUGACUCAUUCGGCGCCUUAC
rnacentral:rRNA from 1 species